GAGGUGGGCUCUAGGGGGAGGGAGUUGCAUCACUGGAAGAUUGACUUUGAAGGUGAUACUUGGACCUUGUCCCUUUCCCUCUCUCUUUGUUUCACAAGGACCAAAAGGUGGACGGGCCUCCUCUGCCAUGUGCUCCCACCACAGUGUGAGGUGUUGGCCCCAAGCAGGACCAAUGAGUCAAGUCAUGCUUUUCACGGGUGUGUCCCUCUUCCAAAAAGAGAGGGACACUAGAGUUACACAGCGUAACUCAGAAUGAGAAGGAGGAGCGACAACGUCCCACUCGUGGGAGGCGCUGCUGAAAACACCUGUGAGCUGAGAGCCGGUCUUGGAUCUGUGCUGGCUUGAGAAGGAGUUGUGCUUUCUCCUGAUCAUCGCAUGUCUGUAGUCGCAGCAUUCUUCCCGGAGGGAAGGGUAGGGUGUGUAAGACUCAAGACUCUACCUCCAGGUACAUGGCUAAGAAGCUCAGAGAGCUGGAGGAUUCACUAAAGCUUACAGAAGCGGGUGAUGGCUGCUGGGCCAGGGGAGGUCGCUGAGGUAGGGGAGCAACACAGCUGUCUGCGGGUCAUCCACAGAGCUCCAUGGAUGCAUUGUCUAUGAGUUGUUACUCAAACUGGGGUAGGCUUUCCAGGCAUACGGCUUCCGGGAGUCACCUGGACUGUCUAGCGGGUGACAGAUGCUCCUGUCAGUACCACCAGGAACCUCACUGAUUCAUGGAAUGAUUGCUUUGGUCUGCUAUUAGUGCCAUGUCUGAGAUGAAGAGACUUUGUAUCUGAGAGAAGGCCACACGGGCCCAUUGGCUUAGCUUUUUUAAAAAGUGUUAGGCAGGGUGUCUUCCCAUUUCAGGUCCCUAGGAGCCCCUGGGAAGCAGUGGUCUUAAACUUGUGUAUGUGUUCACCACACGCCACUCCCAAAGAGAUAUCCUAACAGUUACUCUGUUUCUAUCUUAGCAGGACUUAAUUACUCAGCGUUGGUCCUCUGACUUGACCUUGGAGAGUCUCCUUCCACCUAUAGCUUAAUCCGUGGCCUCGAGAAUGGUAGACAGCAUAGUCAGCAAGGGUCAAGAGAAGCCGGGGUAGAGUGAAGUGUUGGACAGAUCACUCAGAGGGCCAGGGAUUCAUCUUUCUCUUUUCUGGGAUGACAUUUGUUGAAUCGUUUUGAGGAGAGUUGGGGGAGGCAUGCACUCCCAGACAGCUUCCAUAUGUGACCCCAGUCACUGCGGAGAGCAAGCUGUUGUAGCAUUCAUUCUACAUCUGACUUCCUGGAGCUCAAUUAGUUGAGCCUGGACAAUACCACUCUAGCUGCCAUAACCACUCAGAACCCACGCUUCCCAGAUUGUCUUGAUUUCCCCCAAAUAUUUUGGACCUAGGCCUAACUGCCAUUCAGCCACAGGCUUUAGAAUUGAGCCUGGUGUGUCAUACCCUUUACUAGUUUUCAAAGCAAGUCUUUCCUCUGUAGAUAAAUAUUGGCCUCCUGUAGAUGCCUGGGUCCGUGUGUCCCCACUUGUUUAACUGACACAGGGGCCGGGAUGAUGAACAUAAAGUGACAUGCUUCACAGUCCCUUUCCAGUCUCUUGCUCCAGCUUGCUUUUAUUCAGCUCAGUAGACACUUUCCAGGACAGGUCGCAGAAAUUGGCCCUUGAAAGCUGGCUGGGGACUGGGUGAGUUGACAUGUCCUGUUCAUUCUGGGCUCACUAAAGCUAGAUUUGGCACUCAUAGUUUCAACACCUUCCCAGUUGAGAUCUUUUCUAGAGCUCUUAAGAGUUAGAUGAAGUCUUGACAUAGCUCUCCUUUCCUUGGUAAUUGUUUACCAACCUAUGAAGUGAAUAGUCUUGGAGUAAGCGGUCAAUGCAGCAGUCUAGGUAUUUAUUAGUCUGUCCAAUCCACUCACAAAUACUGUGACUCUACUACACUUAGUAUUCACUCUUCCUGGGCAGAGGCCAACCUCAAAAGACCUUAUCAAAGACCUGUCUCUAGGAAUCUCCACUCCAGACCAGGCAGUCAAGAAGCAGGUGAAUUGGUACCCAGCAGAAGGAUUUGAAGUCCCAAGAAAGUCUCAAAUGAUGAUUAUUAGGACCUUGUAAACUGAUGGAGAGAGAGGCUUCAGUUGGGCUUUCAAGGACAGGAAGGACCUUGAGAGAGUUAGGACAACCCAGGGAUCCUGUUGACUACUUAUGGGGCUGAUUGAAGGAAGGUCCUAGGAGGGGCUUAAUUCAAGAUAGUUGUUGUCACUGUUGUUGACUGAAAAUUUUAAAAUGAGAAGUUCUUGAUAUAUUGACAAUGUGAAAAAUUUUAAAUGACUCAGUGUCCACGGAUGUAUUUUUGGAGGUUCACUUUGCUUUUUAAUGACCCCUGCAUGACAAAGCAAGAUUAGUGUCACGGUUUCUUCUCACACUUGGUAUUGCUAUUUAAAGGUUUAUGAGACGUGCUCACCAUUUCUGCAUCUGCAAGAAAAUGAAUGGAACUGGAAAUCAUGUUUAGUGAAAUAAACCAGCUGUAGAAAGGCAAA